GGAGAACCUUUGUGUCAAACGCAAGCGAGUUGUAUUUCCAUGCCUUGCGUGACGUCACAACGGGUAGGGCGCAAUCGCUUGGAUUUCGGGGCUGGACAGGAAACGGAGACGCCAGGCAGGAACGCGCAUCGGUCCGCAGCUCGGAACGGGAAUGGAAGCGGGAGAGAAACGGGAGGCUCGCUCGUCUCAUCAUCAUCAAAUAUAAGCGAUCGGCACGGGCAGCGAAAACCCGAUCUAGGAGGAAGAGGAGCUGGGAUUCUGUCGCUGGAUUUGCGCAACACAUCACUGGCUUUUUUCCCCAUUGUUACCGUUUCCUCCGGACAAGACAGAAGCCGCAGAACCGUCGGCUGGUUUGCGACAAUUGUCAGAUUGAUUGAGGAACUUUUCCAUUCAGAAAUCAGCUUGGCACUGCCACAGAACCAAAGAAAAUAUGGUAGCACCCAGAAAUCAUUGUUUCCAAGCUGACACAUGAAGGUAAUGGUGCACUUGCAGUAGCGUGUUUUAAAAUCUCCUUUGAUGAUAAUUAUGUUGAUAUAGAUCUGAUUCAGCGCACACACAGAAUGUGGACACAGUAAGAGCGUGGCAGUGUUGGUAGGACACAUGUUUCUGUAUUAAUUAUUAGGUAUAAAGUAUUAACACUGCUGGCUCUUCUAUGUAGAAGGCAACAGGAGCGCCUGCUUUACUCCAUCAGAGCGAAGAGCUUGCUGUGUGUGGAAUGUGUAAGGCAGUGAUGUGAAACAGAUGCCUCCUCUGCAGGCUUGAUGCUGCACGUGGCCGCUGUCUCUCCAGACGGAUUUUGCAUAAAACGGAAAAGGUGCGAGCCAAGCUGUCCGGUCCAGCAUCUAUUAGACUAGAUUACCGUGGCAUGACUUCACAGCACGUGUGAUCACAGGCCUUCUGGUGAUGAUGAUGAUGUUGUUGUCACAUGUACACACACACACACACACAUACUUACUCGCUCUUCUACACGGGCCAGUGUGUGUGUCAGCAGGGACCUUUCCAAGCAUAGUUUGAGUUUCUGUAGUGGCCCACGCCCCGGGCCUGCCAGUCCAGGCCAAAAUCACAGGGCUGCUAACCGCAGGGAGCUAAUUGUAGCACAGCUCCCUGAAACGCUUUCCUUUAAUUCUCUCCCUGGUUUCACUCACUCUGUCUCCUCAGAUCAAACAUAAACAAUUGCUGAUAAAGCUCAGAAGAGCUGGGCCGCGGAGAUGAGCCAAGUGAACAUGUGAGAAGUGGAAUCUGUAUCCGAAAACUUUCCAGAAACCUGAGACUGACAUGUUUAGACUCUAGCAUGAACCAAUUACUCUAUAGUUGAGGCAUCUGAGUGGCUUUUUAGUAUUUACUUUUAUAAAAAGUAGAGACAGACAGGAAAGUGACAGAGCGAGGGGGAAGUGGGGGCGGGAUUUGACCUGAGCCGGAUUCGAACCCCAAUCCCUAUGAGCCUUUAUGGUAAUAAUUCAGUACCAUAGUAUACGGUACCUUUAAAAAAUUUGGGGGUCAGUAAUAUAUAUAUUUUUAAUUAAUGCUUUUAUUCAGCAAGGAUACAAAUGAUAAAAAAUUAUAGUAUUAUUUUGAACUUUCUAUUUGCUUUCUAUUCAGCAUAUAAUCCUGAAAAAAAAUGUAAAAUGUGUUUCCACUACAAUAUUAUAACAGCAAAAACGUUUUUUGACUUUGAAAAUGAUAAUAAAUGUUUCUUGAGCAGCA
ensembl:lncRNA